GGUCAAUGAUGUGACGUAAAAGGUCUGAAGCUCGGCUCCGCCAUUUUGGCUCCCAGCAGCCCCGCUCUGUGCUCCCAUCAUGCUCUAGUGAUGCAGUGGUGGUCUCAGCAGCUGCUGACACACAGGAUAUGAAAUCACAGCGGGGGUCUGUGCAGAGCUCCUACAGCCUCUCUGUGAUGUUAUCCAACAGAACCAAUCAGCACGGAGCAUCAGGCUGAGGGUGGGGCCUGAGUGGUGAUCUCACUCCUGUACUGAGACC
ensembl:scaRNA